ensembl:snRNA U1 U1 spliceosomal RNA
AUGCUUACCUGGCAGGGGACAUACCAUGAUCACGAAGACGGUUUUCCCAGGGCGAGGCUUAUCCAUUGCACUCCGGAUGUGCUGACCCCUGCGAUUUCCCCAAAUGUGGGAAACGUGACUGCAUAAUUUAUGGUAGUGGGGGGUUAAAAAACAAUAAUAAAUAAAUAAACGCUAU